UGGGGAAUAUUGGACAAUGGGCGAAAGCCUGAUCCAGCAAUGCCGCGUGAGUGAAGAAGGCCUUAGGGUUGUAAAGCUCUUUUACCCGGGAAGAUAAUGACUGUACCGGGAGAAUAAGCCCCGGCUAACUCCGUGCCAGCAGCCGCGGUAAUACGGAGGGGGCUAGCGUUGUUCGGAAUUACUGGGCGUAAAGCGUACGUAGGCGGCUUAUCAAGUCAGAGGUGAAAGCCCGGGGCUCAACUCCGGAAUUGCCUUUGAAACUGGUAGGCUUGAACAUGGGAGAGGUAAGUGGAAUUCCGAGUGUAGAGGUGAAAUUCGUAGAUAUUCGGAGGAACACCAGUGGCGAAGGCGGCUUACUGGACCAUUGUUGACGCUGAGGUACGAAAGCGUGGGGAGCAAACA
rnacentral:rRNA from 1 species